rnacentral:rRNA from 1 species
CGUGUCGUGAGAUGUUGGGUUAAGUCCCGCAACGAGCGCAACCCUUGUCAUUAGUUGCUACGAAAGGGCACUCUAAUGAGACUGCCGGUGACAAACCGGAGGAAGGUGGGGAUGACGUCAAGUCCUCAUGGCCCUUAUGGGUAGGGCUUCACACGUCAUACAAUGGUGCAUACAGAGGGCUGCCAACCCGCGAGGGGGAGCUAAUCCCAGAAAGUGCAUCGUAGUCCGGAUUGCAGUCUGCAACUCGACUGCAUGAAGUUGGAAUCGCUAGUAAUCGCGGAUCAGCAUGUCGCGGUGAAUACGUUCCCGGGUCUU